GUGCUAUAGGGCUGGAUGCACUCACCGACCUACAGGUCAGCGACCAGGAGCGGCGCCAGCCCGAGCCCGGGGACCCGCAGACGGAGCUCCCGAAAUCACCAACAUUUAGUGCCGGAAAACAAAGUCUCUGGGGCGUGAUCAGAGGCAGUGACCAAAGCAUGAGACAUCCACCUUGCUCCCCCUGCACGAGCUGUAUCCUUGCCAUCCAUUUCCUGCCGCAUGACCCCACGCAACAGACCAACAGACGCAGCCAUUCCGUCUGGGAGACACUGAUAAGAUGGACCGACUUACGCGUAGGCCCCCGAGGGAGAAGAAGUGGCAGUGGUGACAGAGGGAUUACUGAGCUAAGCCCAGCUCCUCACAGAGUAGUCUGAUAGAUGGGGUUCUGCACGCACGGGGAAGUAAGUAUCACAGGAAAGGAAACCUUUAGGGAGAUGAAAGGCACCACAGUCCUAUCAAUUAGGAGACUGGCUGGAGGUCUGGCCCUGUUCUUUAUCCAGUUUUAUCACGAACCUUGGCAGCUUAACCUCUCUGGGCUUCCACUACCUCAUUUGUAAAAGGAAAACCACAGUACCUUUUUUUUUCUGUGCAGAACCUUGAGGCCCCCAGAAUUUAAAAUCUUAUGAUUAAA